GAUCCUGGCUCAGAUUGAACGCUGGCGGCAGGCCUAACACAUGCAAGUCGAGCGGUAGAGAGAAGCUUGCUUCUCUUGAGAGCGGCGGACGGGUGAGUAAUGCCUAGGAAUCUGCCUAGUGGUGGGGGGAUAACGUUCGGAAACGGACGCUAAUACCGCAUACGUCCUACGGGAGAAAGCGGGGGAUCUUCGGACCUCGCGCCAUUAGAUGAGCCUAGGUCGGAUUAGCUAGUUGGUGAGGUAAUGGCUCACCAAGGCGACGAUCCGUAACUGGUCUGAGAGGAUGAUCAGUCACACUGGAACUGAGACACGGUCCAGACUCCUACGGGAGGCAGCAGUGGGGAAUAUUGGACAAUGGGCGAAAGCCUGAUCCAGCCAUGCCGCGUGUGUGAAGAAGGUCUUCGGAUUGUAAAGCACUUUAAGUUGGGAGGAAGGGCAGUAACCUAAUACGUUAUUGUUUUGACGUUACCGACAGAAUAAGCACCGGCUAACUUCGUG
rnacentral:rRNA from 1 species